AGUCGAGGCUCUUUAGAUGUGCUAAGGCAUACUCAGUAGCUAAAAGAUCUGCUAGUAAGCACCAGGUUUGGUUUUUGAUAUUAUCUAUGGAUGAUUAUACUCAAUAAUUCUGUCAAGAUUAUACAAUAACAGAAACUCAUUAGUUCUCAGAUGAUUAACAUUAUAAAAUAAUGUAAUUGUAGCUAUUGUAUAAUAACAUACCAUCAUUGUUUUAUUUUAAUAAUUAUUUUAAUUAUGAGUUAUACAAAUGUUUUUGUUUUCUUUUUAGUCAAUCAUUUCUGUUGUUUGUUUGUUGGAUGAACUAUAUUGAGUGUUGGAUCUUAAUAAGAGAUCAGUGUGUCAUGGCACUGGUAAGAACAAUCUAAUCUAGUGUAAGCUGAUUAGCACAGAGACGGGACUUGAAUUAUACAACAUGCAGAGUUCAAUUUUAUUCUCGUCUGUACAGUGUUUUCAAGUGGUUUGAAAACAGAACUGAGUGAAAUUUGACACUCUCUGCUUUGUCCUUCUGAAGACAAUAGAUAUUAAAACUGUGUCAGUGUGAUAUUCUGUCAGCUACAUUAUAUUUCUGAUGCUACAUCUCAUCUGACUGAGAGUUUACUCACCCUGGACAGUGAAAAGCAAAAGGUGACUGCAAGAAUUCGCAGAAAGAGACGGCGGAGGGGAAGGUCAAGGCUGUCGAGUCGGAUGGGUUUCCAACGCAAGGCUGUACACUAGAAGCUGAGAAAGACGCGAUGGAUCUUGUGUAAAUAUCAUCUGACCACUGGCCAAGGUAGUUACAGAUUUGUGUUUGCAUUUAUGAUGUGCUUUAAAUUCUGUAUUCUGAUAUUACUUAUAAUAAUAACACAACUAUAUACAUAAUAACACAACUAUGACUUGAGACAAAAACAUCGACUUUUUAAAUUUUUUAUUAUCAAGUUCAACAUUUGAUUAAAAUAACAAUUGCAUGACACUCAUUUUGAACUGAUCUAUUAAUUUAUUCAAAAAUACAUGAAAAAUGCAAUUCAUACAUACAAUGACCUGAAUAUUCUCGUCUUAUGAUGUUUUUAAUUUCUGAAUUCAAAUAAGAGGAUUCCUGCACACCCUCACACACUGUUAAAAAAAAAUAUCGAAGUUGUAACUUGUGUUUUACAAGAAAAUACAAUUUUAGUUUUUACUAAUUUAC
ensembl:lncRNA